CGAUUCGACAUGGUCUGAUUAUUGUUGAUUAUUUUGUUAUUUGUUGAGUUUGUUUAAAAGUGCUUUAUUGAAGAAUCAUUUUGUUGUUGUAUUAUUUUGAUUUAAUUGUUUUUACUAUAGGUUAUUUGUACUGUGAGGGGUUAUGUUUUGAUAUUUUUUUAAAAGCUGAUUUUGUUUGUUGUACCUUGUGUAUCAGGGUUCAUUGAAUUUUAUUAUUUAUUUUUAUUUCCCGAUUUUAAAGGAGUUAAUUGCUUAUGUUAGUUACUGUUUCAUUAGUAUUAAUAAUAGGUGGUUGGUAGUGAAAUGUUAUUCGUCUUUAGUGGUUUCUGGUUUUUCAAGAAAUGAAUUUAAUUCAUACAUCUUAUUUAAUUUCUGUUGUUUUUUAGUUUCUUUUAUUUGAUGUUAAGAUUUAGGGGGAUUAGCUCCUUUUUUUAUUUUUAUAAUUUAUUUAGUUUAUUUAGUUUUGUGGAUUUUAUAGUGAUUUUCUAUUUGAUUAUGUUAAAAUUUUAUUUAUUCUUUUUUUGAUUUAUUUCUAUUUAAUUUAUUUAUUGAAGUGUUUUUGUUAUCUUGGAUUUAUAAUGGUAAUGAUUGUGUAAUUAGUAAAUUGUUUAUUUUAUUUUAUGGCCUAUAAGGUGUUAAUUACUUUUUAGGAAUUAGGCAAAGCUUUCGUGUCCGCCUGUUUAACAAAAACAUCUUUUCUUGUUAGUUUUUGAAGUAUGGCCUGCCCACUGACUAUUAGGUAGAUGAAGGGCCGCGGUAUUUUGACCGUGCAAAGGUAGCAUAAUCAUUAGUUCUUUAAUUGUGAUCUGGUAUGAAUGGCUUGACGAGAUACGAGCUGUCUUAGGGGUAUUGUUUGUUGAAUUUGGUUUUUGAGUUAAAAUUCUUAAAUGUUUUUAUGGGACGAGAAGACCCUAUAGAGUUUGACAUUUUCUUAUUUGUAUUAUUGUUUGUUUAGAAAGUUUUAAGUAGGAGGAAUGUUUUGUUGGGGUGAUGGGAAGAAUAUUUAUUAACUCUUCUUUGUUUUUAUAUAUUUAUGUAUAUUUGUUUUGAUCCAUUUAUUUUGAUUAUAAGAUUAAAUUACCUUAGGGAUAACAGCGUUAUCUUCCUUGAGAGUUCUUAUUGGCGGGGAGGUUUGCGACCUCGAUGUUGGAUUAAGGUUAAUUUUUGGUGCAGGAGCUGAAAUGAUUGGGUCUGUUCGACCUUUAAAAUCUUACAUGAUCUGAGUUCAGACCGGCGUGAGCCAGGUUGGUUUCUAUCUAUAAUAUUGUUUUAUAUCUUAGUACGAGAGGACCGGAUAUUUGGAAUAAUUUCUGUUAAUUAUGAUUUUUAUUAAUUUGGUGCUAUUUUGGCAGAUAAGUGCAUUGGAUUUAGAAUCUAUU
rnacentral:rRNA from 1 species